GGGAAAAUCGAGUUCCCCCAUUCAAAAACUUUGUUCUUCUGGUUCGAAGAGAGAGGGGGGGAGGAGGAGGAGGAGCGGCGACCCCCACCACUGUCAGUCCCUCCGGCGACGACCUCCACCCUGCGAAAAGAUCUCACUAUCAAAUCGCGAAAAGCGCGAUGCGCCACCGUCCAAGCACCGCGAAGAGUCACCAAUACCUUUUGAUGAGGCAGAAAGAUUCAAAUAUUUCAGACUGUUUUGCGGCUGGAACGAUGGCUAAUUUCGGGUUUAGAAUGAACUGAUUUUCUGGGUUGUUUACCAAGCUAAAAUGGGCUGUUUUAAGUGCAGUUUCUGGGCUGGUUUUGGACCUGUUUCGGGCUGGUUUUGUGACUGAGUUUUGGGAUGGUUUCAGGGCUCAAACGGAGUGAUGCUCUGCCCAAUUAGUUUGCUUCCCAUUGGACUUUCAAGGCCAAUCUUUCUUGUGCAGUGUUGGGGAGACUCAAAAAGGCAGUGAAAGAGAUUGAAGCUAUUCAAAUGAAUCAAAGGCCAAGAAAAAUGAUCAAUUUGUUGUAAUUUGUAAUAUCAAGUUGUAAUUUGUUGGAAUAUGUAGUUGUAGUAUCAAGUUUUAGUUUUGCGAAACCUAACUUUGUAUGUAAUUGAUUAUUGUGAUGAGAACGGCCCGGUGUGGGUUUUAAAUUUAUUGGAUUGUGAAUGUUAUAUACAAUGUCGUUUUCAGUUU